rnacentral:rRNA from 1 species
GUGCCAGCAGCCGCGGUAAUACGUAGGAGGCGAGCGUUGUCCGGAGUUACUGGGCGUAAAGCGUACGCAGGCGGUCCAAUCAGUCUGUAGGGACAGGGCACAGCUUAACUGUGUCAGGCUUAUGGAAACUGUUGGACUUGAGGGCUUCAGAGGGAUGGGGAAUUCCGGGUGGAGUGGUGAAAUGCGUAGAGAUCCGGAAGAACACCAAAGGCGUAGGCACCAUCCUGGGGAGUCACUGACGCUCAUGUACGAAAGCUAGGGGAGCGAACGGGAUUAGAUACCCCGGUAGUCC